rnacentral:rRNA from 1 species
AACAAACGCUGGCGGCGUGCCUAAUACAUGCAAGUCGAACGGGGAAAGUAGCAAUACGAGUACUAGUGGCGCACGGGUGAGGAAUACAUGGGUAAUCUGCCCUCUAGUUUGGGAUAACCAGUCGAAAGAUUGGCUAAUACCGGAUAUGACCACGAGAUCCGAGGAUUUUGAGGUAAAAGUUUUUCGCUAGAGGAUGAGCCCAUGUGGGAUUAGCUAGUUGGUGAGGUAAUGGCUCACCAAGGCGACGAUCCCUAACUGGUCUUAGAGGAUGAUCAGUCACACUGGAACUGAGACACGGUCCAGACUCCUACGGGAGGCAGCAGUAGGGAAUAUUGCACAAUGGGGGAAACCCUGAUGCAGCGACGCCGCGUGAGUGAUGAAGGCCUUCGGGUCGUAAAGCUCUGUCGUAUGGGACUAACAAAAUGAAGGUACCAUGCAAGAAAGGAUCGGCUAACUUCGCGCCAGCCGCCGCAGUAAGA